UAUGAUGCUAAUUUUUUUUUUAAUCGAAGUAUAUGUUCGGAUUAUUUGUAUUUGUUGUUAUCUGGAGCUCCGGAUCCGAAUAGCACGAAGUAUCCAAUCAACAGCUCUACUCAAAGGAGCAAAAAUGCACCGAUCAACGAAUUCGAUUACUCCGGCAACGGGAUUGUUAACCGGAAAUCGGAACCAGAGACGGCUAAAUAAGCUCCGUCCGGAUGAAUCCGGCGAAGUCGACAUCGGCUGAAGAUAAGCCCAAGCGGCUUGCUUCACAAGUCGAUUCCGUAUUGAAAUCUCGGAACCUGAUUGGCCGUUACUAGCCGUAGCCAUAGGCCGGGGAGAAUUAACAGUUGCCGGCGGUAAUAGAUCUCUUAGAGAAGUAUACGAUACAGGUUUAAUUGAGAAAAGCUCAAAAUCAUCGCUUACCGAAUUCGUCAUCGAAGACGAAGCCGAUGACGUGACGGUAGCUGUAGUAGUUGAUGCUGAUGAUUGAAGAGGUAAACUGAGCUUUGUAGGUAGCGUAACGGAGUUGCGACGACGGAGGAGAGGAUUUUCCGGUGCGGCGGCGGUUGGCUCAACGACGGCCAUAGCUGAGGGUAGUGAGAGAAAGUUCUAGAGAGAGAAAGA
rnacentral:misc_RNA from 1 species